AAGUCGUAACAAGGUUUCCGUAGGUGAACCUGCGGAAGGAUCAUUAACACGUAUCCUAACGUUUAACCACCCGUGCACCUUCACUGUAACUCUGCGUUAACACGAAUUGCCUUUGCGGAAUAACGAUUCGGGAUCAUAACUUCACACGAGGUGCUGAAGAUGGACCUGGGAGAUCGUGCGAAACGCGUUACAAAUCUGCUGUUUGGAACGGAAGGGUCCUGAAGCUAGGCGCGUUUCCAUGUGUCUUCGGGAAAGUCGGAACUCUGAAGAGGUAUUCAACAAGACCACACCUUGGGUCACACCGGGGUCCGCCUUAAAAACGCCACCUCACUAGAAACCUGACCGAUGGGCCGGAUCCUUGCGGGUUCAGGCGUCGGAAACCCCGAACAACUGUUAGCAAUGGAUAUCUUGGCUCUC
rnacentral:misc_RNA from 1 species